rnacentral:pre_miRNA from 2 species
GUUGAGGGGAAUGGUGUCUGGUUCGAGACCAUUCAUUCUAAAGAAAAGUUCAUCCAUCAUCCCAGAUCAUCCCAGAGAAUGAUCUCGGACCAGGCUUCAUUCCCCCUAGC